rnacentral:lncRNA from 1 species
UUGGGGUUCGAUCUCUUUCUAUGGUGUCUGGUUAUUCUUCUUUGGUGAAGGCAGGUGCAUCUAGGGUUAGGGUUUCCUGGGAUGCGAUGUUUAAAUACGUAUCCCACGUCGAUCUGUAUGAUCCAUUUGCAUCGACGUGGAGCAAGGAGAGUUGUCGCUCAUUGUCUGUUUAAGCCGAUUGGAUGGGAGAAUAUGGACCGUUUAUUGUAAUUGAUCUCGUCUAUCCAAUAGCUUGUAAAGAGGGAAUGAAUCUGAGCUGUCCUGCGCGCGGAACGUGAUUGAGAUCGUUGGAUCGCUUGGCACGUGGAUCACCUGUGUGGCCUCUCGUAUGGCAUCGAUAUAGCAUGAUUUGCCACGCAGCAUGCUCUAGUUUGUCGUGGCUGCUAAUUAGGUCAUCCUACGUGGUUGAAUUUUC